UGGGUAUUCAUAAGUUCAUUAAAAAACAAAUUCAGUGAUAUAGAGAAGAAUAGUAUGGCCCCUGUGCAAGGAUGACACACAAAGUUGUGAAAUGUUCCAUAUGCUA